rnacentral:sRNA from 1 species
GAGCGCCCCGGAUAGCAGCGGAAAUCCUUUGCCUUAGGCAAAGAUUGGAGCGUAUAGCCGGAAAUGGC